UUUGAGUAUUUAUGAAAUUUAGUUUUUUUUUCCAAAUAUAAGAUCAUUACUAGUUUGCAACUGUUUUGAGAACCUCCAGGCCUGAUUAGAUAUUGCUCAAAUCCAAUGGCACUUACCUCAAUUAUAUAUCCUCACGAGAAGAGAUAGAGAAUAAAAAAGGGUGAAGAAAGGUGUGAAUGCAUUGUUCUUACUUAGAAUUCUCUCAUCAACAGGACAACUCCUAUUCUCACCAACUGGGUGAGCUUUUCUUGCUUAAGUAAUUUCAAUUAGGCAUUAGUCCCUACUAUUUUGGUCUUUUCUUAUCUACAAAGACUAUAUCUCAGUUCUAAUUUUCAAGUCAGGGUAUCCUGUGGCUCUCUUCCCUCUUGUUGCAGUUUGGGCCUUUGAGUUGGCUUUACACUGAUCGGAAAUUUAAGCUUUCUCUAUGGUUUAUUGCUAAUUGCUUUGUGGCUAUUGUGUGUUAGUCUUAUGCUAGGAUAUGGACCCAACUUCGCAAAGGUCAGUUGAGGAAGAGGUGAAGAGUCAUGCUCCACCUAUGACUGAAGCUGGAGGCAGGAGGAAACUUGCUCCACCAGCACAAGCGGUGCCUGCACAGCCUCAACAGGCCAUGUUUGAACAAAUGGCCACAUUCUUCAGACAAAUGGUUGGGGUUAUGCCACCAAUACCACCACCACAACAGAAGUCUCAUCUAGAGAAGCUCAAAAAAUUUGAGGCUGUGGACUUUCUAGAAAAGAAAGAAGACCCCGUGGCAGCUGAGAACUGUGUGACACCUCUCACCUGACUACAGUGUAGCCGAGCAAGGCAUGUCACACUCGGUGCCGGAGCAUCCUAUUUUAUCUUACUUUAUUCCUUUUAAAAUUUUGUUCUCGUUAUAAUUUAAUAUCAAUUAUUUUUCUAUGGAGAAACCAGCGAAGUUUUCCCUGUUUCUAUUACCAUUUGGCGUAUUUCACUA